AAGUCCUUAGAGUUUGAUCCUGGCUCAGGAUGAACGCUAGCUACAGGCUUAACACAUGCAAGUCGAGGGGCAGCAUGACGAUAGCUUGCUAUUGUUGAUGGCGACCGGCGCACGGGUGAGUAACGCGUAUCCAACCUGCCCUUGUCCAUCGGAUAACCCGUCGAAAGGCGGCCUAACACGAUAUGCAGUUCUCAGCAGGCAUCUAACGAGAACGAAAUGUGAAGGAGAAGGAUGGGGAUGCGUCUGAUUAGCUUGUUGGCGGGGUAACGGCCCACCAAGGCGACGAUCAGUAGGGGUUCUGAGAGGAAGGUCCCCCACAUUGGAACUGAGACACGGUCCAAACUCCUACGGGAGGCAGCAGUGAGGAAUAUUGGUCAAUGGGCGAGAGCCUGAACCAGCCAAGUAGCGUGCAGGAUGACGGCCCUAUGGGUUGUAAACUGCUUUUAUGCGGGGAUAAAGUGAGCCAGGUGUGGCUUAUCGCAGGUACCGCAUGAAUAMGGACCGGCUAAUUCCGUCCCAGCAGCCGCGGUAAUACGGAAGGUCCGGGCGUUAUCCGGAUUUAUUGGGUUUAAAGGGAGCCUAGGCCGUCUGAUAAGCGUGUUGUGAAAUGUCGGGGCUCAACCUGGGCAUUGCAGCGCGAACUGUGAGACUUGAGUGCGCGGGAAGUAGGCGGAAUUCGUCGUGUAGCGGUGAAAUGCUUAGAUAUGACGAAGAACUCCGAUUGCGAAGGCAGCCUGCUGUAGCGCAACUGACGCUGAAGCUCGAAAGCGUGGGUAUCGAACAGGAUUAGAUACCCUGGUAGUCCACGCGGUAAACGAUGGAUGCUCGCUGUUUGCGUCUGACGUAAGCGGCCAAGCGAAAGCGUUAAGCAUCCCACCUGGGGAGUACGCCGGCAACGGUGAAACUCUAAUGAAUUGACGG
rnacentral:rRNA from 1 species